rnacentral:rRNA from 1 species
UACGUAGGGUGCGAGCGUUGUCCGGAAUUACUGGGCGUAAAGAGCUCGUAGGCGGUUUGUCGCGUCGUCCGUGAAAACUUGGGGCUCAACCCCAAGCUUGCGGGCGAUACGGGCAGACUUGAGUACUGUAGGGGAGACUGGAAUUCCUGGUGUAGCGGUGAAAUGCGCAGAUAUCAGGAGGAACACCGGUGGCGAAGGCGGGUCUCUGGGCAGUAACUGACGCUGAGGAGCGAAAGCGUGGGGAGCGAACAGG